rnacentral:rRNA from 1 species
GUAGGGUGCGAGCGUUAAUCGGGAAUUACCGGGGCGUAAAGCGUGCGCAGGCGGUUGUGCAAGACAGAUGUGAAAUCCCCCGGGGCUCAACCUGGGGAAUUGCAUUUGUGACUGCACGGCUAGAGUGUGUCAGAGGGGGGUAGAAUUCCACGUGUAGCAGUGAAAUGCGUAGAGAUGUGGAGGAAUACCGAUGGCGAAGGCAGCCCCCUGGGAUAACACUGACGCUCAUGCACGAAAGCGUGGGGAGCAAACAGGAUUAGAUACCCUGGUAGUCCACGCCCUAAACGAUGUCAACUAGUUGUCGGGUCUUAAUUGACUUGGUAACGCAGCUAACGCGCGAAGUUGACCGCCUGGGGAGUACGGUCGCAAGAUUA